UACGAAGGGUGCAAGCGUUAAUCGGAAUUACUGGGCGUAAAGGGUGCGUAGGCGGUUGUUUAAGUCUGUCGUGAAAUCCCCGGGCUCAACCUGGGAAUGGCGAUGGAUACUGGGCAGCUAGAGUGUGUCAGAGGAUGGUGGAAUUCCCGGUGUAGCGGUGAAAUGCGUAGAGAUCGGGAGGAACAUCAGUGGCGAAGGCGGCCAUCUGGGACAACACUGACGCUGAGGCGCGAAAGCGUGGGGAGCAAACAGG
rnacentral:rRNA from 1 species